AACGUAGGUGGCGAGCGUUAUCCGGAUUUACUGGGCGUAAAGGGUGUGCAGGCGGGUGAACAAGUGGGGUAUGAAAGGUUUCGGCUCAACCGAGAUAGGUUAUGCCAGACUGUUUACCUAGAGUGUGAGAGAGGGACGUGGAAUUCCGGGUGUAGUGGUGAAAUGCGCAGAUAUCAGGAGGAACACCGAUGGCGAAGGCAGAUCUCUGGGCCGUAACUGACGCUGAGGAGCGAAAGCAUGGGGAGCGAACAGG
rnacentral:rRNA from 1 species